rnacentral:snoRNA from 12 species
UUGCAUUUGAUGAUAAACUCCACGCUGAUACGUUGUUGUGGUCUAUUUUUGAACACUUCGAUGUUACCUUGGGAUGGUCGCAUUUGCGAGGCAUUUGCCUGAUGCUCUC